GGCCGGGCAGACCCUCGAGGGAGAGGCUGUCGGGGCUACUAGCCUGGCUGGCCGGAGCGGCCUGCCUGCGCACCCCAGCUGCCCCGGGGCUUGGGCGAGGGGCAUCUUGCCCCAGCCUGCUGAAGGGGUCCUGCGGGCAGCUGCUUGGCUUGCUUUCAGCCCUUCUCCCAGGGCAGCCCUAGUUGCACGGACGGCUGUGGGAGGACCUGGUGUGUGGCUUGCUCCACACCAGCCCUCCCCAUCCUGGCAGCCACCAGAUGUUGUGAACUCCAGUUCCUGUCAGCCCCAGCUAGAAUGGCCGAUGCUUAGGAAAGUUGGAAUCCAAAUGUCUCGAAAGCACAGCACUGGGGAAGGCUGGGUUGCCUUCAGGUAUCUCCCGAUUUUGUUAAACGGAUGGGAGCAUGGGGCGAUUUGCUUUUUUAUGUAGGCAAGUACAACUGUGUGGCUUGUUUGCAUUUUCCUUAGUAAGUAUUUCGGUAUAUCCAUGUGGACUUAUUUCCGCUGUCUGAGGAACUUCGCUUUUAUUCCCAUUUUAGAGACUGGGACACUGAGGCAGAACAAUGUGUGCCCAAAGUGCUGGGUGGAGGCAGAGGACAGUCUCCUCUCUCCCAGGCCAGAAGGCCAGAGGUCGGGAGGGAUUAGUGCAUACCAUCCUGUUGCAGAGGGUAAUUCUAGCUGGGGUUCCUUUCGAAGCUCACUGUCCAUUCCGAGCAGAAGUUGUGUACCUAAGCAUACCCAGGCCUAGCUUUGCCCUUCAAGCUGCCCCGUUUGUGUCUGGCAGAAACUGGAGAGCAGUGUUCUGAUCUCAGCUGAAGGGAAAGGCCUCUCUGUCAGGGGGGCCUGUGAAGACUCGCCUCCCGUCUGCUUGCCUGCCCAGAUCCGAGAGAUCAUCACCAGGAACCUUUCAGAAACUCAUCAGCAAGCUGCCAUCCACGGUGAGAUGUCGUCCUUGCUUUCCCUCCAGGAGGAGAACCACAUCCUGCAGCAGGAGCUCUCCCGGGUGGAGGACUUGCUGGCUCAGAGCCGUGCGGAGCGCGAUGAGCUGGCAAUCAAGUACAACGCCAUCAGCGAGCGGCUGGAGCAGGCCCUGCGCCUGGAGACGGGCGAGGGGGAGCCGGCGCCGGCGCCAGAGGGCGAGGGCUUGGCCCAGCAGAUCCUCGAGCUGCGCCGACGACUGGACGAGGAGCACGCCGCCUACAAACGCAAGCUGCAGGCCUACCAGGAGGGGCAGCAGCGGCAGGCCCAGCUUGUGCAGAAGCUGCAAGCCAAGGUUCUCCAGUAUAAGAAGAAGUGUGGUGAGCAGGAGCAGCAGCUGCUGGAGAGGUCCACUGAGCUGGAGCAGCAGCGGCUGGUGAGCCACCUGGACAUGACGGAGUCCUGCCUGCAUCGUGACAAGGAGCACAGCAAUGACCUGGAAAACGCCUUGAUUCGCCUGGAGGAGGAGCAGCAAAGGAGCACCAGCCUCGCGCAGGUCAACGCCAUGCUGAGGGAGCAGCUGGACCAGGCGAACACGGCCAACCAGGCACUCAGCGAGGACAUCCGGAAGCUCACCACGGACUGGGCGAAGGCCCGGGAGGAGCUGGAGCAGCGGGAGGCAGCGUGGAGGCGCGAGGAGGAGUCCUUCAACGCCUACUUCAGCAACGAGCACAGCCGGCUGCUCACGCUCUGGCGGCAGGUUGUCGGCUUCCGGAGGCACUUUGGCGAGAUCAGGACCCUGACGGAGAGGGACCUCUCCGAGCUGAGCCAUGAGCUGGGCCAGUCGGGCCGUGCGGUGCACGCUGCCUGCUUGAAGCUGGGCAGCAACCUGCUGCUGUCGGAGAGCAGCGCCAGCGCAGCCCUGGAGAAGCAGGCGCUGCUGACCGGCCAGCUGGAGGAGCAGCUGAAGGACAAGGUCCGCGCCAUGAUCCAGCUGCAGGUCCGCUGCGACGUGGAGAAGGCGGAGCUGAGCAGCAGGGUUGGUGAGCUGUCUUCCAGCCUGGAGCGCGUGAAGGGCCAGAGCGCCGAGAAGGGCAAGACCAUCGAGACGCUGAUGCAGAAACUGCAGAGCCUGGAGGCGUCCUGCGCCCAGGAGCAGGCCGAGGCAGAGGAGGCGGAGGCCCUGCGGUCCGAGUCGGAGGUGCUGCAGCAGACACUGCGGGACAUCGCUCAGGCGGUGCUCUCUGACGCGGACAGCGCCAUCCACCUGCCGGCUGCCAACGGCUCGGACAGCGAGACAGCUGGCGGGCUCAGCCUGCGCGGCUUGUCCUCGGGCCUCCGGACGCCCUCCCCGCUGCGGCGCGCUUCCCCCCGGCGCAGCUCCUCCCCCCGGCGCAGCCUCUCGCCCGCCUCCUCGGACUCCACGCUGGCGGUGGUGCAGGCGGCUCUGCAGAAGCGGCAGCUGCAGCUGCAGGACCUCCGGGGGAAAUACGAGGCCGCUCAGGAGCGUGUGACAUCCCUGAAGAGGCAGCUGGCGGAGAGCGACAGCCAGCGGCACUCCCUGGAGCAGACAGUCCUGCAGCUGAAGGACGACGCGGACGGGCUGGUGCAGGCCAAGGGGGAUGCUGAGCAGGACGCCGGCCGCUUCCGGGCCUCUGUGGAGCUGCUGGGCAGUGAGAAAGCUGCCCUGGAGAAGGCCCUGCACACUGCGCAGCAGAAGCUGGAGGGGCUGCAGCAGGAGAACGAGAAGCUGCAGCUGGCCAAGAGCCGCCUCCAGCGCCAGUGGGACGGCCUUGAGGAGGAGAAGGAGGAUGCCUUGAAGGACCAGGAGCGCGUGCGGAAGGAGACGGAGCGCGGGCACAAGCAGCUGGAGCAGCUCGAAGCGAAGAAGUCCAUCCUCAAGAAGGAGCUGGUGCUGGUGAGGGAGGCCUUGAGCAGAACAAUGCUGGAGAAGGAAGUGCUGGAGGAUGAGAAGGCGACACUGGCCGAAGCCCUCACCAAGGCCGAGGGGAGCCGGGCGGAGCUGGAGCUGGCCCUGGCCCGUCUGAGGGCAGAGGAGGCCACCCUGCGCGACUCCCUCGCCAGAAUGAGCGCCCUCAGCGAGGGGCUGGCACGAGACAAGGCAGAGCUGAGCAGGACCAUCAUCCAGCUGGAAGGGGAGAAGAGCGCCCUCCUGGAGAAGAAGCAGGAAGUGGAGCAGGAGAAGGCCACGAUCCGGGAUGAGCUGGUGCGGCUGGAGCAGGAGAGGCUGGAGCUGGAUGCCGAGUGCCGCCGGCUGAGCGGCGCCCUUCAGGCCAUGGAGCAGGGCCAGGAGGCGCAGGAGCAGGCGCUGCGGGCGCUGCAGAAGGAGAAGGGGCAGCUCCAGGAGCAGCUGGGCUGGCUCUCCCGGCAGCGGAGUGCCAGCGGCGAGGAGCUGGGGCAGGCGCGGCGGGAGCUGGAGCGGCACAGCGAGGCCCUGCUGCAGGGAGCCAAGGAGAAGGAGGCGCUGAUGAAGGAGAAGGCCGGCCUGCUGGUGCAGGUGGCGGCCGCAGAGCGGGAGAAUCGGGGGCUGGCCGAGGAGGCCGCCGGCCUCAGAUCCGAGAAGGACGCCUUGGAGGCCACCCUCUUUGAGGUCCAGCAGCGCCUGGCCCAGCUGGAAUCGCGGAAGGAGCAACUGGAGACCGAGAGCCGGGGCUGGCUGCUGGCCAAGGAAACCCUGCAAGUGGAGCUCGUGGGCGUCCGCCAGCAGAUGGAGGCCGAGGUGAGGCGGCUGGAGCGGGACAAGGAGCUGCUGGCCCAGAGGCUCUCCCAGGCGGAGCAGGAGGCCCAGGCGGCCCUGCGGAGCGCCCAGGCGGCCCGCGAGGAGGACGCAGCCCGCCUGCGCCAGGAGAAGGAGGCGCUGCGCCUGGAGCUGGAUGCGGAGCGCGAGGAGCUGCGGCGGCGGCUGGCCCGGGAGCGUGAGGAGCUGGCGGCCCGCAGCGAGGCCGAGCGCGAGGAGCUGAGUGAGGAGCUGGCGGCGCUGCAGCAGGAGAGGGACGAGGGGCUCCUGCUGGCUGAGAGUGAGAAGCAGCAGGCGCUCUCCCGCAAGGAGUUGGAGAAGGCCGCUCUCCUGGAGAAGCUCUCCAGCACCCAGCAGAGCCUGGUGAGGCUCACCCGGGAGGCGGAGCGGCAGCGGCGCGAGGCCCAGAGCCGCCAGGAGCAAGAGCGGGGCACCAUCAAUGCCUUGAACUCGGAGCUGCGGAGCCUGCGGGCCCAGUUUGAAGAAUCCAUCGCGGGCCAUGAACGGGAGCUGAAGGCUGCCCACGAGCAGGCCAGAGAUCUGGCGAAGCAGCGGGAAUCCGCCCUCCGUGAGGUGGAAGAGCUGAAGACGCAGCUGCACCUGGUGGAAGACGCCCGGGAUGCGAUCCGCCGGGACUUGCUGGAGGCCCACCGCAAGCUGCGGGAGGUGCAGGAGGCCCAUGACACCCGGCAGAAGGAGGCCGUCGACCUGCGCCGGGGGCUGAGCGAGGAGGGCAAGGAGAAGGAGGCGCUGCAGCGGUCCAACGCGGAGCUGCGAGCCGCCGUGAAGCGUGCCGAGGGGGACCGCAUCAGCUUGAAGCGUGCCGGUGAGGAGAAGGACCAGCGGAUCUCCAUCCUGGAGGAGGCCUGGGCGGUCACGGGCAAGGAGGCGGCCGACGUGCGCAGCAGCCUGCAGGAGGUGGAGCGGUCGCGGCUGGAGGCCCGCCGGGAGCUGCAGGAGCUGCGCCGGCAGAUCAAGGUCCUGGACAGUGAGAACGCCAAAAGGGGCAAGGAGGUGGCUGAGCUGCAGGCCCGGGUGGCCCUGGAGGAGCAGCGCGAGGAGGAGAGCCGGCGCGAGUCCUUUGGGCUCAAGCAGAGGAUUGUGGAGAGUGAGGCCAGCCGAGAUUCUGCCCGGAAGGAACUGCACAGCCUGCACCGGAGGCUCUCGGACCUGGAGGGGGAGUUCCGCCUGCGGGAGACGGAGCUGCUGCACAGCCUGGAGGAGGCCCGCGGCAGUGAGAAGAAGCUGGCCGAUGAUGCCCGCAACCUCGAGACGAAGCUGGGGCGGGCACAGGCCGAGGCGGCCGAGCUGGGCCUGCGGCUGAGUGCAGCCGAGGGGCGCGUGCUGGGGCUGGAGGCCGAGCUGGCCCGCGUGGAGGGCCUGAGGCGAGAUGCGGCGCUCCGGCUGGGUGGCCUCCACUCCGCCCUGCGGCGCACGCUGGGCAUCGGCCUCCGGGGCCCGGGCCUGGCCCUCGGAGCCCCCCGUGGCACCUCCCCCCAGAGGCUCUUCUCUCCCCCCAAAGGUGGCCCGGCUCCUGGCGGGCGGGCCAGUCCCACAGCGCAGACCGGGGCCAGCCUGGGCUCCCGCCCCCCCUCGCCAGAACGUGCCUCAUCUCCCGGCCGGAGCGAGCAGCCGGCCCUUGACCUCGACCCCGAGCUCGUCCGAGCUGCUCUCUGGGACUUGCUGCACGAGUCGCGGGAGGCACAGCGGGAGCGGGAUGAAGCCCGUGCCCAGAGGGGGGCCCUGCAGCGGCAGCUGGCGGAGGCGGAGGUCGAGCGGGACGAGGCCCGUGCCCGGGUGCAGCAACUGCAGAAGCAGGCGGCUGAAUGCGACGAGGGCAGGCGCGGCUUGGACGAGAAGCUGAGCAGCGCCCAGGCGGCCUUGGCGCUGCGGGAGGAGAGCCUGCGCCAGGGCGAGCGGGAGCGCCGGGCCCUGGCAGACCGGGUGACGGCGAUGGAGCGGAGCAUCCAGGCGGCCGACAGCGAGCGGACCGCCCUGCAGGAGAGGCUCAGCGCGAUGAAGGCCCACGAGAGUAAGCUGGAGAUGGACAAGCGGCGUCUCAAGGACGUCCUGGACGCCUGUGAAAGCCGCGGCACCAAGCUGGAGCUGCUCCGGCGCUCUCUGGAGGGGGAGCUGCAGCGGGCCAGGCUGGCGCUGAGCGAGCGCGAGGCCGAGGUGCAAGCGCUGCGCGACCAGGUUGACCUGCUGCAGAGGCAGGUGCAGGAGAGCGAGGCCAAGGCCGGCGGCCUGCAGUUGUCCCUGGACCGCCUCAGCCUCUCGAUGGCCAAGGUGGCCGAGGCCGAGGCCUCCCUGAAGGAGAAGGUGCGAGGCCUGACCGCCUCCCUGUCGGAGAGCCACAGCGGCGCCGUCGCAGCCCAGGAGAAGGUGCUGGAGCUGCAGAAGGUGCUGGCCGCCAGCGAGCACGAGCGGAGGGUCCUGCAGGAGCGUCUGGACGCGGCCCGACAAGCGGUCUCGGAGGCCAAGAAGCAGAACGGGGCGCUCUCGGACCGGCUGCAGGCCCUGCGGGGGGAGCAAGCGGAGCUGCAGCUCCGGAAGGACGAGCUGGAGGGGCUUGUGAGGCAGCAGGAGGAGCUGCUGCACCAGCGCCAGGAAGGCGAAGCGCUCGCCCUGAGCGGCCUGCAGGCGGCACGGGAGGAGCGGCGCCUCUUGCAGGAGCGCCUGGGCCGCCUGCAGCAGGCCCUGGCCCAGCUGGAGCUGGAGAAGCGGGAGGCCGAGCGCUGCUCCGUGCGCCUGGAGAAGGACAAGGACGCCCUGAAGAAGACGCUCGACAAGGUGGAGCGCGAGAAGCUGAAGACUCACGAGGACUCAGUGCGGCUGUCAGUAGAAAAGGGCCGCCUGGACCGGUCACUCACUGGCGUGGAGCAGGAGCUGGUGGAGGCCCAACAGCAGAUCCGGCUCCUUGAGGCCCAGGUGCACCACCUGACCGAGGCGCCCAGCAAGCACCGGGAGGAGCUGCCUUUGGAGGCGGAGCGGCUGCGUGGCUCCCGGCUGCAGGCCCUGGACGCCCGGGAGUGGACCCACCGGCACCGGGUCAAAGGCCCGGAGGAGCAGCCAUGGGGGGCAGCCCAACUGGUGCCCUCUGCUUCGCCUGGAACAUUUGGGGCGCUCUGCCGAGCUUCUGCUAAGACACCCCCCACACUGUCGACAAGAAACAGACCGGGCCUCGGGGCCGCUUACCUACCUGUAGAAGCAGAUCUCGUUCAGGCACUGUUUGCACGGCUUGUGGACUGAGUACAGCCUCGUGCAGGGAUACUGCUCCUCCUGGCAGUCUGUGGAGGGAAUGGGACCUGGUUGAUCGCGGCUCCAAACCAGCUCGGGCCAGGGCGUCAAUCCGCUCGCUUUCUCACGCGAAGUCCUGGCCCUGCGGGUUCCAGACCUGACUGAGGUACUCUGCUUCUGAGAUGGCAGGUUGUGCUAGUGAGACCCAGGUGCUCGGCCCCGCUCCUCGAUCAAUCGAGACUGCUCACGUCAAGGCGGAACCCUGACCCUCACGGUGGUUGCGGCGCUGAAUGCUGCACUCGGAGUCGAUGUGACGCACAAUUCUGGUGCUGCGCCGUGAGCCAGUUCCCCCGCGGGGAACCUUGGUGGUUGCUGCUGUGGGGAGGCUGCCAGCCUGGGGCAUCUUCCGCAGGAGCGGCUUAUGGGGCUCCCCACUCACCUGGCAGGCAGACGAAAAGAUACAGCACCCUCAUUCUCCGCCGCGAUGGUGCUGCUGCUGGUGCCGGAGGUCGCGUGUGAACUGGAGUUGGGCUGGAAACAAAACGCAGGAGGAGAGAAGCUGUUGGCUGGCACCAGGCGAGACCCACUAAGCAAGAUUUAGCAUAUGCUCAAGGCAGACUGACAUUUCCCAUUGGCUCUUAAUUGUUCCAUACCGGCCCACUGUCUCUCUGCAUGUAUUUUAUUACUCCCAGGCAAUUUGUGUGCAACUGUGGUCACUCUGAAGGAGGAGGUCAGGAGCACAUCCAGCCGCUCCUCUGUCGAUGCUCCCGGGGC